rnacentral:lncRNA from 1 species
AUGAAAGAGUUGAUCGAAGGGCUAAGUGAAAGCAUAAAUUUUAGGGGCAAUUGCUUAAAAACCCCUGAAAAGUUUCUGACUUUCUAAUUUACCUUUCUUAGAAGGCUAAUAUUGAAAAUACCUUUUUUACGUUCCAAUCUAUUUCAAAUAUACCCCCAGAGUUAAAAUCUGUUAAUUAACUCUGUUAUCUGUAUAAAAUUACUAUUUUGCCUUUUUCAAAUAUACCCUUAUACCAUCACCGGCUUUUUUUAUUUGUCCUUAAGUCAGGGGCACAAAAAGUAUUUUGACUUUUGGUUUCUUCAAAUAUACCUAACUACCGUCGCCAACAUUUCUUAUUUGCUCUCAAGUUAAGGGCAAAAUUGGCAUUUCAAUUCCGGAAG